rnacentral:lncRNA from 10 species
CAGGCAGAGCAGUCACGAGAGAGAACACACCCAGUGGAGACAUUUCUCUCUUAACCCUUUCCUCAGCUGGCAAGCAUGCUUCCUCCAACCGGGUUCCUUCACGUUCCACCUCUCCCUGGGGAGUCCAAUUUUCCACCUCCCAUGUAUUUCCCAUGCUCUGGAGGGUGGAGGAACCCAGACCUACAGCCACCUCACCACCUGCUGCUUUUCCAGGUGGCAUUCUUCCAUGGCUAAGCCUGGGGCCACCAGGGGCUUCCCGAGUAUCGCAGGAAGAGGGGAGAUGAGGGAGGGGGAAGACAGCUUCUGCUCUCAGGUUUAGUCAGUUAAUUCUCCCUGUGUUUCGGUCCAAGUGAGAAAUCUUUCAUAAAAAAUCUGGGAUGCAAGGAUUGCUUCCAUGGUGAUCCUUGAACCCCUGAAAGUGAAUUCAGAA